rnacentral:pre_miRNA from 1 species
AAGGGGAGCACCGGAUCCUGGGCUGUGUCCCCCAGCGCCUUGGGUUCCAUGUCCUGCACUGCUGGAAUCUCCCUCCCGAGGGGCGCGCAGCCCCCU